UCCGGAGGGUGCAAGCGUUAUCCGGAAUCACUGGGUUUAAAGGGUGCGUAGGCUGCUGCAUAAGUCAGAGGUGAAAGUUUGUCGCUUAACGAUAGAAUUGCCUUUGAUACUGUGCGGCUUGAAAUUAGGUGAGGUUGGCGGAAUGUGACAUGUAGCGGUGAAAUGCGUAGAUAUGUCAUAGAACACCGAUUGCGAAGGCAGCUGGCUAACCUAUAUUUGACGCUGAGGCACGAAAGCGUGGGUAGCAAACAGG
rnacentral:rRNA from 1 species